GAUGAACGCUGGCGGCGUGCCUAAUACAUGCAAGUCGAGCGAACGGACGAGAAGCUUGCUUCUCUGAUGUUAGCGGCGGACGGGUGAGUAACACGUGGAUAACCUACCUAUAAGACUGGGAUAACUUCGGGAGACCGGAGCUAAUACCGGAUAAUAUUUUGAACCGCAUGGUUCAAAAGUGAAAGACGGUCUUGCUGUCACUUAUAGAUGGAUCCGCGCUGCAUUAGCUAGUUGGUAAGGUAACGGCUUACCAAGGCAACGAUGCAUAGCCGACCUGAGAGGGUGAUCGGCCACACUGGAGCUGAGACACGGUCCAGACUCCUACGGGAGGCAGCAGUAGGGAAUCUUCCGCAAUGGGCGAAAGCCUGACGGAGCAACGCCGCGUGAGUGAUGAAGGUCUUCAGAUCGUAAAACUCUGUUAUUAGGGAAGAACAUAUGUGUAAGUAACUGUGCACAUCUUGACGGUACCUAAUCAGAAAGCCACGGCUAACUACGUG
rnacentral:rRNA from 1 species